CGGGGCUCGAGGUGAGCGGUGCUGUGAUGUCCCCCUGUUGCAGCUGUGGGAGAACGAGGCCACCAAGGAGCAGCUGAUGUCCUCCAUGGGGAUCGACAGGCUGGGAACGCCAUCGGACGUGGCCGAGGUGGUGGCAUUCCUCUGCUCCCCCGCCGCCUCCUACGUGGUGGGAGAAACCGUGGUGGUGGCCGGGGGGACCCCGUCCCGCCUCUAAAGGAGCCCGGAGAGUGCUGGGAUGGCAUCGCUGCGGCAGCGGGGGUGGUCUGGGAGAGACAUCCGUGUCUGGGGGGGAGCUCUGGGGACACCUGACGGGAUGCUGAGGCUUAGUCCAGGAGGAUGAGGGGACCCGCAGGGGACGUCCAGGUCUACGGGAGGUACUUGGGGCCAUCCGGGGGGAGCUGGGGCCUGCAGAAAACCUCUGGGUGUGCCAUGGAGGUCUUCGUAGGCCCCAGUGUCCCCUUGGAUGUCCCCGUAGGGUUUCUAGGGGGAUCAACAGGGAAUACUGAGGCUUACAGAAGCAUCUGGGGACAUGUGGGGUGGUCUAUAAGGAAUACUGAGGGCUGUAGGGGGUGCUUGGGAUUUGUGGGGGAUAUUGUGGGCUACAGAGAAGCGUAAGGGGCUUUGUAGGAGACACUGAAGUCAAUAUGGGGCAUUUGGGGAAAUCUAUGGGGACAUGGAAGCAUAGGGACACCCUCAGGGACACUGGGAUCCGUAGGGGACAUUCUAGGAGCUACAGGUAGAUUUAGGUCACUUCAGUAUGUUUGGGGCACUUUGGAUCCCCCAAUAAAUCCACUGACGCUGCCCUGGUUACAGCUCAGAGGUGUCUCUUUGGGGCCAUUGUGGAGGCCGUCCCAGCACUCAGCAUGGGAGUGACCAUCCUGGCAGUGUUGGCAGCCAUCUUGAAGGGACAGGCAUUAUCUUGAGGUGGCAUCUUCUUGGGCCUCUUGCAAUACCCCAUUUCCUCAUGCCCCCUGUUAGCACUAACAAGCAGCACAAUGGCAAUUAGCAGGGCCCAUUUAUUGCCAGGGACAAUAAACGACCAUAGAAUCACA